rnacentral:lncRNA from 1 species
CAUAACUAAAAUAAAGUCCCCGGAGGGUUCAGGAAAUAUCAGUGUGGCAGAGUAGCUUGUCAGACAGCUCUUUUAUUUUCAGUUCAAUCCUGGUAGGAAAAUUGCUCCUAUUGCUUGGCUACUAUUAAGGUUUUAAACAUUAUUGUUCCUUGGAAAUGAUCUGCUUACACUGCUUCUUGCCAGAGAAUGGCUUAUGUCCAUAAUAACUGAAGAUUAUAUACCCAAUGAUCUCAUUUCAUAUGCAGCUGCAGAGUGGUUUCGAAAUGGUAAUAAUUGCCUAUUGCUCUCGGGAUUAUCUUAUCGUCUGGCAAUGGUUAUAAAGACAGUAGGGUUUUAAGAGGCCAAUUAGUAAGACUGACACAAAGAACUAAUUUUUAUUUUUCUCUAAAUGACUCUCAAAGUGAGCAUCUAAUUCAGACCUCAGAAAGAUCUGAAAGAACUUCUGUGGAACUGAGUUAUAGAACAAUACAGAAAGCUAAAGGUGAGGAUCCCCAUGAAAAUGGAGUGUUGUGCACUUUCAGGAGAUGGGUUGGGUGAGACUAAUCAUUAAAAUGGCCACUGAAAUGUUGUUUCGCAUCUUACUUUAAAGGUGCUACAUCUCUUUUCUUUGCUAAGUAUUGUGCAAACAAGGGUCCCAGUCUGCAAAAAUUCUACAGUUUUAUUUACCCACACCAAUGCCAUUUGAUGAAAAUUUCUCUUGAGAGGGAAAUCACAUUGUCUUAAGCACCAAUUGUGGACCAGAUGCAUUGAGUAUUUCAUCCAUUUAACACUCACUGUAACCUUCUGAGGUGUGUUUUCACCAUUUUACAAAGCUCUUUCUCUUACUCAGAUGCAUUGAUUCAUUCAACACAUUUUUUUUAAAGAUCCCACUCUGUGCUAGGUGCUGGGUUAUAACAGUGAACAAACCUACAAACAUCCUUGCCCCAUAGAGCUUUUGUUUUUGUGGGUAGAGAGAGAACUAACCAAACAUAGUAGAUGAGGCUUUGGAAAUUAGUGCUAUAGAAAAGAUAACUGGGGUAAGAGAACUAGAAGUGGUAGACUGGCAGAGCUAGAGAAAUUUUGUGAAUUUACACAGAACAAUCAAUGCAUGAGCUAUUGAUUGCUGAAUAACACAAAUUACUCCAAAACUUAAUGGGUUAAAAACAACAGACUUUUAAUUAUCUCACAGUUUCUAUGGGUCAGGAAUCUGGGUAUGAUUAACUCACGUCUCUGCUUCAGGUCUCUCAAGAAGUUGGAUUCAGUGUGGAAUAGUUGGCAAGCUCAAGUUAAGGGCAGGCUCCUGGACCAAGAGAACUCAGUUCUUUGAUGGCUGGAGGCUAGGCACCCUCCUCAGUCCCUUAGCUCAUGAACCUCUCCAUGUGGCCACUCAUAAUAUGGCAGUUGGUAUCCCUCAGAGUGAGCAAGCAAGUAGAAGAAUGAGUAUGCUGAAGAUGGAAGCCACAGACUUUUUGUAAUCUGAUCUCCAAAAGGACAGUUCCUUGUGGCUGACUAGUUUUAUUUGCUAGAAUUGAGUCAUUAAAUCUCAUACUCUAGAGUUGGAGAUUAUACAAAGGUGUGGGUCCCAGGAGGCAGAGGUUAUUGGAUGUUGUACUACCAGAGUCAGUAAGCCUGUUUAGAGAUGACACCUGAACAGAAACCUAAAGGGAGAGAGGGAGAAGAGCACUUUAGGUGGAGGAAAUAGCUAGUGCAAAAGGUGAGAAGAGUCUAAUCCAAGAUGAGGUCAGAGAGGUAGCCCUGGGUUAAAUAAAACAGAGUUUUAUGUGGGCUGUGGUAAGGAAUUUGGAUUUUAAUUUCAGUAAGAUGGGAAGGCUCUUGGGCAGAAGGGUAUCAUGACUUAUGUUUUAAGAAAAUUACUCUGAUUGUGCUGUGGAGAAUAGGUUGGGAAAGUGAAUAUUAACAGGAACAAUGGAACAGAAACAAGUUAGAAUGCUAUUGCACUAAUCCAGCUGAGUGAUGAUCAUGGCUUAGACUAUGGUGAUAGAAGUGGAAAUGGGGAGGAGAAAUGGAAUUUUGGAAUUAUUGCCUAGUAAAACUGACAGGAUUUGCUGAUUUUUUUUGAGAGAGAGAAAGGGUCUCACUGUGUAAUUCAGGCUGGCCUUGAGCAGGGCUGUGUGGCCCAGGUUGGCCUUGAAUUCUCAGUGAUCUUCAUACCUUAGCCUCCCGAGUGCUGAGACUACUGGUGCUCGCCACCACACCUGGCUUCUGUUGAUGGUUCAGAUGUAGAUUGUAAAGAAAGUAAGGAGUCAGUAAUGACAAGUGGCUUUUUGGAUUUAGCAACUGGAAAAAUAGUUACCCAUUAUUAAUCUGGGAAAUACUGAUACAUGAGCACGUUUUGAAGGGGGGGGAGUAUAAACCAGGGGAUUUGUACAUAUUAAUGUACACCUAGUAGACUUCAAACUGGAGAUGUUUAAUUGUCAAUAGGGUGUAUUAGUCUGGAGCUCUGGAAUGUAGGAUGGACCAUAAAUACAAAUUUAUAAAUUUCUAGAGUUAAUAGGAAUUUAAAACCAAUGGAAUGUAUGGCAAAACUGAAGAAGUGAGAAUAGAUUGAGAAGAGGAAAGAUUCAAGGAUUGAAACCCAGGGCACUGCAAGAUUUAGAAAUCAGGCAAAUCAGACCAGGAAGGGAGACUGAGAAGAAACCAGAAAGGGAGAAGGAUAACCAAGAGAUUAUUGCCCUGCAAGCCGGUUGUGUUUCAAGGAGGAGUGAGUGGUCAACUGUGUCAAAUACUGACAACUGGUUAAGCAAGACCUAUGAGGAUUGAAAAUUGGUCAUGGAUCUGAGAACAAGGAGGCCACUGGUGGCCUUGAUGAAUGGAAGCUGUUUCAGUGGAGUUGGAGAAUGAAAAAAAGCAAUUGGGGAAGGUGAGAACUGAGGCUCUUGGGAGUCAGAGUUAUCUUCUAACAAUUGGUUGCCUGAACUACCUAUGAUGAGCUCACCUGUGGUUCUCAUUAGAAAUGUCAUUUGGAGAGCUCCACUCUAGAAUUUCUGUGGAUGGUACCUUGUUACCUUUAUUCUUCACGAGUCCAACGAAUGAUUUCAGACACAUUAAAAUGUGAGAACCAAUAUCCUGCCCCAUGCAUGUUAUCCUACAUCCAUUAAAGACCUCCCAUGCAUGUGUGUCUUAUGGUUUAGAUCUGAAAUGUGCAAUGUCCCCCAAAAGCUUGCGUCUUGAAGACUUGGUCCCCAGUGGAGCAGUGUCCAGAGGUGGAGUUUUGGAAGGUGAUUCUAUCAUGAGGGAUUAAUCCACUGAUGAAUUUGUAGCCUAAUGGGAUUUUGGGGAGAUAGUGGAAACUUUAGGAAGUAGGCCUACCUGGAGGAAGUUAACUGGUGGCAUGCUCUUGAAGGGUAAUUUUGUAUGCAGCCCCUUCUCUUCUCUCUCUGUUUCCUGACUACCAUGAGGUGAGGAGCCCUGCUCUACCACACACCCCUGCCAUGAGUGUGCUGCCUCACCACAGCCCCAGAGGGGACAGGCCAGCUGACCAUGGUCUAAAACUGCGGAAACUGGCUUCUAGGAACCUCAGAAAAUUUGAAAUUCUCAGAAUCAGCAUGUUUGCUUCCUGAGGAUGCUGGAAACGGAGACACAAAGGCAUCCCAAACUUGUUUGGCUGCUAAAGUGCUUAAUUAACUGCGCCUGUUCACCUGGAACGAUGGAGGACCUUGAAGGCAAUUUUGGUCCCAGAAGGGAGGAGGAGCAGGAGGUGUGCUGUAAUAAUUUUGUUCUUUUUAAGUUUAAAAGGUUUUAUUUAAGUAAUACAAUGUCUUUAAUUUGAGAUUUAAAAAAUCUGAAAUCUGAGAUAAUUUACAUUCUAAAGUUUAGCAGGUUUUGGCUCUAAAUUUUAGAGAGUUUUUAUCAAAGUACUGUAGCUCUAGAAAGGAGUUUAAGUGAUCUGUAUAAGAAAACAAUAUUGGAGCUCAUUAAGAAAAUGAAUUGUUAUAAAGUACUUAAAAAGUAUGUAACACACUAUAUGAAAAGCGUUCAAUAGCUAUUAAGUAUUAAAUGAACAUAAGGCACCUCAAGUUCUGCCUAGUCACUUUUUACAUACUGAUUAGCUUAAAUUCUUAUUUGGCAAAUUGGUUGGUUUGGUUUAAGCAAAUUAUGUGUGCAUACCAGUAUAUAUGUUUUCCCAUGAGUCUCUGAGGACAUUUCUUGUCUUGUUCAUCUUUGUACCUCUAAUGGGCUUAACACAAUGUUGUAUGUCAAGUAUUAUAAUUGACCAAUAUUUAUAUAAAUGAUCAAACUGCAAUAAAGUACUUGAAGCUAACCCAACUGUCUUAUAAUUAUGCUUUUUCUAAUUUUCUCUCCCUCACAAUUCAUCCAGGUUAGUUGGUAUGCUCCAAAGAGCACACUAUAUAUUCUAUUGUUUUACAAAUUUAUUUUCAACAAAGACAAGGAUACAGAUGUCUUCCAUACAUAACUAAUACUCUGUGAUGCUAAACCCACUCUCUCAUGUUGGGAUUCUGACACACUGCUAUGCAGGCUGCACACACUUCAUGAGAAAGAACAGUAC